rnacentral:rRNA from 1 species
AUGUUCCGGCUAUCGGUGCUGCUUCCCGCGACUGCUUCUUGGGGCGCUGCUUCCCCGUCCAUACGAUCUGCGCCACUGCUGUUCAGGUCAUCCGUCUCUCCCUUCCGUCUGCUCGAUUUGCUGCUCUUCCUUGAUCUGGAGGAGAUUGAUCGGUGCACCCACCGCAUAGAGCCGAAGGAAGUGUGUCAAUCCAGCAAUACAUGGAGCCGGCCAGCAACCAGCGACGCAGCCACCAUUGUCUUACCUGCUCUAAGCACACAGUCAAUUUUGUUUCAGAUGGAAUGCAUUCAGCAUACAUGGUGGAAGAGAGCUUCCCCCAGGCCCUCACUACUGAACAAGCACGCCCACAGCAAGGACAUGGAGAUCUUCAUCACAGGGGAAAGUGGUAAUUCCAACAUCGAGGGAGUUUGA